CAUCCGCAGGCUGCUGGCCCCAGGCUGGGCUGGGCGAGUAUCUCUUGGAAAGGCUCACCCUCCAGCACAACUAGGAGC
rnacentral:pre_miRNA from 1 species